UACAGAGGGUGCGAGCGUUGUCCGGAAUCACUGGGCGUAAAGGGCGCGUAGGCGGCCUGGUAAGGUUGCGGUGAAAGCCCGGGGCUCAACCCCGGGUCGGCCGUGGCAACUGCCGGGCUCGAGCACAGUAGAGGCGGGUGGAAUUCCGGGUGUAGCGGUGGAAUGCGUAGAGAUCCGGAAGAACACCGGUGGCGAAGGCGGCCCGCUGGGCUGUGACCGCAAGGUCGUGAGCUGACGCUGAGGCG
rnacentral:rRNA from 1 species